UCUAAAUGUAGAGAGAAAGAGGCUGGCGACCGUGUUCUUCUCUGCCUCCCAAGACAACUUCUCUCUCGUCAUCACCAACCUAACCUCCGCCCUCAAUCUCUCGUCAUGAGUGGAUGGUGAUGAAUGCCGAGACAACGGAGGGGAUGCCGCCGUCACGCUCCUCGUUCUCUGAAAUGGCGCGUCGAAAGGCAAAGCAAAACCAGUAGCAAGUAAUCAUGAUAAUUGAGUUCUAUUUGUAUUUUUAGUUAUCUUUUGGCAAUCAAAUCCUACAGAAUUUUGCUUUCUUCGCUUUAAUGAUUGAGCUUUGAUUUUGUUUUGGUGCUGAUUGCAUUUUAGAGAAAUGAAGAGCUGAUAUGACUGGAGGAAUUCUUAUUGAAGUAGCAUGUUUAACAUUGGCUAUUGUUAAACUAACUUUGAUCAAAGAUAGAUAUAUGCUUGAUGCUUAAUGCCAAGUUAACCCCAUAAGAUAAAUUAGUUGGUGCAGUAGAAGUAACUAUUGAUUUGAAUAGUUAUUUCAACUGAAAUGGUGAAAGAUAUAGUUUAUUUCAACUUGAAUGGUUAAUUGAGUUCUAUGUGAUGAUUGGAUUUUUCUCUGUGUAUUCGAGCAUUUGAGAAUCUUCCAAGGUUCCUCUUGGGGUGGAAGCAUUCAUGUAGAUGGAGUAGGUAACAAUAUUUAUGCUUUGCAGUUAGAAUGAAUAUGACAUUGUUUAUUCCGGAACUUGUGACUUUAGUGAUACAAUUGGUCAAGGAAUAUGGAACAAAAUGAAGCUUUUUGAUGCAGAACAGUUCACUAUCAGUGCUUUAGCUGGAAUGAUAACUGAGGCUUGAUGCAGAAGCUAUAUGGGCUGCAAUGGAUUCUGGUGAAUCCUAGGUUUGUAGAUGCAAUGAAAGCUAUCAUUCUGGUGUGUCUUUUUGCAUCUCUCCGACUCGCCACCCGUACCCAAGAAGACCACAUUGAAUGACCUCAUCAAUGACCUCCUUGGAAAUCUUGAUGCUCUAGCCAUUUCCAAGGUGUAGGGAAAUUAUGCUUGCUCUUGCAAUUCACAAAGAGGUUCAAGCUGUGCAUAAUCUCACCAUUUUCAUUAUCGAGGGUCGACCAAUCAAGUUUCAGAUUUGGGACACUGUUUCUAUAUUAUCGAUGACAUUCUAUCUCUUGUUUUAUCCCCACCUAAUGGACAAGUUGAAUAAGAUGGAAGACUCAAGGUGGGUCUAAUCUAGAGGCACAGUGGACGAUGGGAUCCUAAUCAUAGUGGAGCAGUCUAGUCAUGGAGGAAGAUUUGAAGCAGGAAGAAGAUGAAUGACAUGGUAGAUGUAGUGGCUAGUAGCAGUAUUUUUCAAGAACCAUUUAGAUAGUUACCCUUUUUGUAUAAGAAAUUAUAUGUAUAAGAUCCGCCAUGCAUAUAGUUUAUGAACCUAUGCAUUUUAUAGUGUAAAGCAUAUUUUUUGUGCUUCAAGUUUCUAUUCAAUUUCGUAUCCAAAUUAGCUAAUAGAUAUCAAUUUUAACUUUGGGUUAUGGCCAAU